UCAACCGUAGUAAGCUCUUGAAACUGGGAGACUUGAGUGCAGGAGAGGAGAGUGGAAUUCCUAGUGUAGCGGUGAAAUGCGUAGAUAUUAGGAGGAACCCCAGUUGCGAAGGCGGCUCUCUGGACUGUAACUGACGCUGAGGCACGAAAGCGUGGGGAGCAAACAGGAUUAGAUACCCUGGUAGUCCACGCUGUAAACGAUGA
rnacentral:rRNA from 1 species